UGGGGAAUAUUGGACAAUGGGCGCAAGCCUGAUCCAGCCAUGCCGCGUGGAUGAUGAAGGCCUUAGGGUUGUAAAGUCCUUUCGACGGGGAAGAUAAUGACGGUACCCGUAGAAGAAGCCCCGGCUAACUUCGUGCCAGCAGCCGCGGUAAUACGAAGGGGGCUAGCGUUGCUCGGAAUCACUGGGCGUAAAGCGCACGUAGGCGGCUUUUUAAGUCAGAGGUGAAAUCCUGGAGCUCAACUCCAGAACUGCCUUUGAUACUGAGAAGCUUGAGUCCGGGAGAGGUGAGUGGAACUGCGAGUGUAGAGGUGAAAUUCGUAGAUAUUCGCAAGAACACCAGUGGCGAAGGCGGCUCACUGGCCCGGUACUGACGCUGAGGUGCGAAAGCGUGGGGAGCAAACAGGAUUAGAUACCCCCGUAGUCC
rnacentral:rRNA from 1 species